CUUGUUCAUGGAACAAGUUGAUAGGAUCCGCAACGGGCGAAAGCCUGAUGGAGCAAUGCCACAUGGGAGGUAGAAGGCCCAGGGGUCAUUAACUUCUUUUCCUGGAGAAGCAAUGACGGUAUCCAAGGAAAAGGCAUCAACUAACUUUGUGCUAGCAGCUGCAGUAAGACAGAGGAUGCAAG
rnacentral:ncRNA from 1 species